GAUGAACGCUGGCGGCGUGCCUAAUACAUGCAAGUCGAGCGAAUGGAUUAAGAGCUUGCUCUUAUGAAGUUAGCGGCGGACGGGUGAGUAACACGUGGGUAACCUGCCCAUAAGACUGGGAUAACUCCGGGAAACCGGGGCUAAUACGGGAUAACAUUUUGAACCGCAUGGUUCGAAAUUGAAAGGCGGCUUCGGCUGUCAAUUAUGGAUGGACCCGCGUCGCAUUAGCUAGUUGGUGAGGUAACGGCUCACCAAGGCAACGAUGCGUAGCCGACCUGAGAGGGUGAUCGGCCACACUGGGACUGAGACACGGCCCAGACUCCUACGGGAGGCAGCAGUAGGGAAUCUUCCGCAAUGGACGAAAGUCUGACGGAGCAACGCCGCGUGAGUGAUGAAGGCUUUCGGGUCGUAAAACUCUGUUGUUAGGGAAGAACAAGUGCUAGUUGAAUAAGCUGGCACCUUGACGGUACCUAACCAGAAAGCCACGGCUAACUACGUGCCAGCCGCCGCUGUAA
rnacentral:rRNA from 1 species